AGUGAACGCUGGCGGUAGGCCUAACACAUGCAAGUCGAACGGCAGCACAGGAGAGCUUGCUCUCUGGGUGGCGAGUGGCGGACGGGUGAGGAAUACAUCGGAAUCUACUCUGUCGUGGGGGAUAACGUAGGGAAACUUACGCUAAUACCGCAUACGACCUACGGGUGAAAGCAGGGGAUCUUCGGACCUUGCGCGAUUGAAUGAGCCGAUGUCGGAUUAGCUGGUUGGCGGGGUAAAGGCCCACCAAGGCGACGAUCCGUAGCUGGUCUGGGAGGAUGAUCAGCCACACUGGAACUGAGACACGGUCCAGACUCCUACGGGAGGCAGCAGUUGGGAAUAUUGGACAAAGGGCGCAAGCCUGAUCCAGCCAUACCGCGUGGGUGAAGAAGGCCUUCGGGUUGUAAAGCCCUUUUGUUGGGAAAGAAAUCCAGCUGGCUAAUACCCGGUUGGGAUGACGGUACCCAAAGAAUAAGCACCGGCUAACUUCGUGCCAGCAGCCGCCGUAA
rnacentral:rRNA from 1 species